GUGCAAAGGUAGCAUAAUCAUUAGUUUUUUAAUUGAAGGCUUGUAUGAAAGGUUGGACAAAGAAUAAUCUGUUUUUAUUUUUAUUUUUGAAUUUAACUUUUAAGUGAAAAGGCUUAAGUGAAUUUAAGGGACGAUAAGACCCUAUAAAUCUUAUAUAUUAGAUUAUUUUUAGUUAUUUAAUGUUGUAGAUAUAAUAAUAAGGUGGUGUGUAUUGUGUUGGGGUGAUGAGAAUAUAAUAAAUAACUGUUCUAAAAUUAAAACAAAAAUAUUUGUAUAAAUAAUAGAUCCUUUAUUGAGAUUAAAAGUUUAAGUUACUUUAGGGAUAACAGCGUUAUUUUUUUUGAGAGUUCUUAUCGAAAAAAAAGUUUGCGACCUCGAUGUUGAAUUAAAAUUUCUUUGUGGUGUAGUUGUUACAAGAGAGAGUCUGUUCGACUUUU
rnacentral:rRNA from 1 species